rnacentral:lncRNA from 1 species
UUUAAGUACUUUAAGUACUUUAAGUACUUUAGUUUAAGUAAAAGUAGUGAUUGUGCAGUAAAUGUUUGAUAUUUUAUCCGAUGCAUUAGAUUCUAUCAGAUCAUCACAUGUUUUGUAUCUUUGUCUCUAAAAAGUCAAUUUUUCAUGAGUUCCUCAGAAAAACAGUUUCCAGCUUUGUGACAUCAUCUUCCAGCUGAUCAAGAGGCUUUUUAAAGACUUCAUUAUCUGAAGAAGGAUCUGAAGGGAACAUGUUGAACUGACAGGAAGGAGGGAAAAGUUCAAUAUCUAGUCUGAGAUGUGGAGCAGAAGGAUAAAUGUAAAUACUCAAAUACAGGAAGUUGUCGGCAGCUUCACGUCUGGACUCAGUCCUCCUCCUUCUGCAGCUUCAUGUGAAUCCUGUGCAGCCGGAGCAGAGCAGCCGGAGCAGAGCAGCCGGAGCAGAGCAGGCGGAGCAGAGCAGCCGGAGCAGAGCAGGCGGAGCAGAGCAGCUGGAGCAGAGCAGGCGGAGCAGAGCAGGCGGAGCAGAGCAGGCGGAGUAGAGCAGCUGGAGCAGAGCAGCUGGAGCAGAGCAGGCGGAGCAGAGCAGGCGGAGCAGAGCAGCCGGAGCAGAGCAGGCGGAGCAGAGCAGGCGGAGCAGAGCAGCUGGAGCAGAGCAGGCGGAGCAGAGCAGGCGGAGCAGAGCAGGCGGAGUAGAGCAGCUGGAGCAGAGCAGGCGGAGCAGAGCAGGCGGAGCAGAGCAGCCGGAGCAGAGCAGGCGGAGCAGAGCAGGCGGAGCAGAGCAGGUGGAGCAGAGCAGCCGGAGCAGAGCAGGCGGAGCAGAGCAGGCGGAGCAGAGCAGGCGGAGCAGAGCAGCCGGAGCAGAGCAGCCGGAGCAGAGCAGCCGAAGCAGAGCAGGCUCCUCUUCUUAUUUCUAUUUCUGCAAUUACUAAGAUGCAAGAACUGAUGCUUGUGGUGCAAUAAUUAAAAGCACUAACUCCUGUCCAUCCUUUAUUUAGCAGCUGAGCUACAACCAUUUUAAAAACACUUUCAGCAGGUAACAGUUCUACAUGAGCCGCUGUGUACACACACACACACACACACACACACACACACACACACACACACAGAACGAUGUUCUUGAUAGUUGUAUUCACUCACAGAUGACUUUCUGUGCCUCAUCUCUCUCGUGCAGACUCUCCUCCUCCUCCUCAGUAUCUCAGACAG